CUAUUACACUAUUUUUCAUCCCCAGAUCACUUUUUGGUUGAGUCUUAUCAACCAAAGAAGGAAAUCAGCUGAUUAAUUCCAUGAAAUUGACAGCAAAGGAAGUUGGGUGUCACCCAAUGGAAAGUAC